rnacentral:rRNA from 1 species
GGCGAACGGGGUGCGUAACGCGUUGGUGACCUGCCCCGAAGAGGGGGAUAACAGUUUCGAAAGGACUGCUAAUACCCCAUGUGGUCGUGAAGGUUAGAGGCUUUGCGACUGAAGGAGCAAUUCGCUUCGGGAGGGACCUGCGUCCCAUCAGCUAGUUGGUAGGGUAACGGCCUACCAAGGCGACGACGGGUAGGGGGCCUGAGA